UACGUAGGGUGCGAGCGUUGUCCGGAAUUAUUGGGCGUAAAGGGCUCGUAGGCGGUUUGUCACGUCGGGAGUGAAAACUCGGGGCUUAACCCCGAGCCUGCUUCCGAUACGGGCAGACUAGAGGUAUGCAGGGGAGAACGGAAUUCUUGGUGUAGCGGUGAAAUGCGCAGAUAUCAGGAGGAACACCGGUGGCGAAGGCGGUUCUCUGGGCAUUACCUGACGCUGAGGAGCGAAAGUGUGGGGAGCGAACAGG
rnacentral:rRNA from 1 species